UACGCUUUCAUUCAGGUAACAUGCGGUACAAAUCUUUAACGCAUUAGACUAAUGAUAUAAUUGCGUAAGACAGUUUUAUUUUCAACGAAUGAAAAUACCAAAUAAAAGAAAAUAUUCGAUAUGCUGCCUGAGACAGUUGUAAUCUUGCUGACGCUAGCAACGAUUGCUUUCAUCCUGGUUGUAGGAUUAGUAUUACUGUACAGGAAAUGUCAAAGGUCAACAUAGAGCAGCACUGCGCCUCAUCAGCAGAGCGGACAGGUGUGGCCAAUAAAAGAAGAAAAACACGACGAGCAUUCAACAAACUGCGGAAAAAGUUCAAAAUACAUUUAGAACUCGUUUAUCGCGUGGCUGAGUCGAAUGUAGGGUGUGGUGAGUACGUGGAAUUAGUGGAAUUAAGCACCAAAGUCAUCCGUGAGGCAACUGAUAAUGCCAAAUCAAAAUUACACAUUCCUACAGCAAUUCAUUCAGAGCGAGAAGGAUACCGCGGCGCUCGACUCAACACAAUGACAGGCCAGUUACAUGUACCGGAUCUCAUUCAGCGUGCUGCAAACAUUAUAAAAAUAAACGGUGCCAACCGCUGCCAUAAAACUAUUGUGAUCGUCCUAAAUGUCGAAUCAAGUUUAUGAUUCAGGUGUGUUCGACCUCUUUUUUCAAAAACGUAUCAAAAGUUGAAAUGAUGGAUAUGUCGACAUUCAUUUCAACAUCAUAAAACAAACAGCAAUAUUAUCAAAGUCAGUCAUGUGGUUUUAAAAUUCUCAAAGACAUAUACAUUGAGAUAAUAAGUCGAUUUCAUGAAUUUACAAACUAAUAAACGUUGGGACAUAUUGUUUAUCAAAAGAAAUGAACUAUUUUAGAACCCAAAAUAAGACAAGAUGAUUGUGACUGUAAUUAUAACUUCCAAAAUAAUAUCUCUAUAUGCUAGUUGCAUUUUGACUUAUGGCAUAGUAUAUUAGGAUUGUUUCCAAUAUGCAUUUAAAAAUUCGUUUCUGAAGAGUUGGAAUGGGUGCGAUUGCAUUAAUGCAACAUGCACAAUGUAUAAUCUACAGAAGCAUGAUUUUCUGAUUAAAGCCUUUAUAUAAUUAAUCUCAACUUAGACCCUGACCCUUCACAGUAACAAACAAGUCCCUUUAACAGCAGAAUGUA